UCCGGUUUGUCACCGGCAGUCUCGCAUGAGUCCCCAACUAAAUGCUGGCAACAUACGACGGGGGUUGCGCUCGUUGCGGGACUUAACCCAACACCUCACGGCACGAGCUGACGACAGCCGUGCAUCACCUCGCACAGUGCCCCGAAGGGAGACCGGCUUUCACCGGCUGUCACUGCACGUUCAAGCCCAGGUAAGGUUCUUCGCGUCGCAUCGAAUUAAACCACACGCUCCGCUGCUUGUGCGGGCCCCCGUCAAUUCCUUUGAGUUUUAGCCUUGCGGCCGUAGUCCCCAGGCGGCUCACUUAUCGCGUUAGCUUCGACGCGGAGGGGGUCGACACCCCCCACACCUAGUGCCCAUCGUUUACGGCGUGGACUAC
rnacentral:misc_RNA from 1 species